CUAACAAGGAUUCCCUUAGUAACUGCGAGUGAAGAGGGAAAAGCUCAAAUUUAAAAUCUGGCAGUGUUUCACUGUCCGAGUUGUAACCUAGAGAAGUGUAACCUGCGCUGGACCGUGUAUAAGUCUCCUGGAAUGGAGCAUCACAGAGGGUGAGAAUCCCGUCUUUGACAUGGACUACCAGUGCAUUGUGGUUGCGCUCUCAACGAGUCGAGUUGUUUGGGAAUGCAGCUCUAAAUGGGUGGUAAAUUCCAUCUAAAGCUAAAUAUUGGCGAGAGACCGAUAGCGAACAAGUACCGUGAGGGAAAGAUGAAAAGAACUUUGGAAAGAGAGUUAAACAGUAUGUGAAAUUGUUGAAAGGGAAACGUUUGAAGUCAGUCGCGUUGGUUGGGGAUCAGCCUGACAUUGUUGGGUGUACUUCCUGGUCGACGGGCCAACAUCAGUUUUGACUGCCAGAAAAAGAUCAAAGGAAUGUGGCACCUUUGGGUGUGUUAUAGCCCUUGGUCGUAUAUGGUGGUUGGGACUGAGGAAAGCAGCGUGCCAAAAGGCCGGGUUUCGACCACGUUCACGCUGAGGAUGUUGGCAUAAUGGCUUUAAGCGACCCGUCUUGAAACACGGACCAAGGAGUCUAACAUGCAUGCGAGUGUUUGGGUGGAAAACCCUUACGCGUAAUGAAAGUGAAAGUUGAGAUCCCUGUCGCGGGGAGCAUCGACGCCCGGACCAGAACUUUUGGGACGGAUCCGCGGUAGAGCACGUAUGUUGGGACCCGAAAGAUGGUGAACUAUGCCUGAAUAGGGUGAAGCCAGAGGAAACUCUGGUGGAGGCUCGUAGCGAUUCUGACGUGCAAAUCGAUCGUCAAAUUUGGGUAUAGGGGCGAAAGACUAAUCG
rnacentral:rRNA from 1 species